GCUUCUGAGAAGUGGUGGCGCACGCCUGUAGUCCCAGCUACCCAGGAGGCUGAGCCCGCUGGGUCGCUUGAGCCCAGGAGUUCUGGGCUUCAAUGUGCUAUGCUGAGUAGGCAUCCGCACUAAGGCUGGCAUCACUGUGGUGAGCCCUGGGGAGCCGGAGCAUAGCAGGUUGACUAAGGAGGGGUGAACUGGCCCAGGUUGGAGAUGGAGCAGGUCAAAGCUCCUGUGCUGGUCAGUAGUGGGAUUGCGCCUGCGAAUAGCCACUGCAGUGUAGCCUGGGCAGCACAGAGAGAUGCGGGUUCCU
rnacentral:SRP_RNA from 1 species